rnacentral:rRNA from 1 species
CUACGUGCCAGCAGCCGCGGUAAUACGGAAGGUCCAGGCGUUAUCCGGAUUUAUUGGGUUUAAAGGGAGCGUAGGCGGAUUAUUAAGUCAGUGGUGAAAGACGGUGGCUCAACCAUCGUUAGCCAUUGAAACUGGUAGUCUUGAGUGCAGACAGGGAUGCUGGAACUCGUGGUGUAGCGGUGAAAUGCUUAGAUAUCACGAUGAACUCCGAUCGCGAAGGCAGGUGUCCGGGCUGCAACUGACGCUGAGGCUCGAAAGUGUGGGUAUCAAACAGGAUUAGAUACCCUGGUAGUCCACACAGUAAACGAUGUAUACUCGCGGUUUGCGAUAUAAUGUAAGCCGCCAAGCGAAAGCAUUAAGUAUACCACCUGGGGAGUACGCCGGCAACGGUGAAACUCAAAGGAAUUGACGGGGGCCCGCACAAGCGGAGGAACAUGUGGUUUAAUUCGAUGAUACGCGAGGAACCUUACCCGGGCUUGAACUGCAGCUGAACGAUUCAGAGAUGAU